rnacentral:snRNA from 12 species
AUCGCUUCUCGGCCUUUUGGCUAAGAUCAAGUGUAGUAUCUGUUCUUAUCAGUUUAAUAUCUGAUAUGUCCUCUAUCUGAGGAUAAUGUAUUAAAUGGAUUUUUGGAGUUUGGAGAUGGAGUAGGAGCUUGCUCUGUCCACUCCACGCAUUGACCUGGUAUUGCAGUAUUUCCAGGAACGGUGCACCCCUU